rnacentral:rRNA from 1 species
GUUGUAUGGUUAAGUGACUAAGCGUACACGGUGGAUGCCUUGGCAGUCAGAGGCGAUGAAAGGCGUAAUAACUUGCGAUAAGCCCAGAUUAGGUAGUAAUAACCUUUUGAGUCUGG